GCCCAAGGGUUGAACUUUCCUAUCGGGCCUAGGUUGAGCCUAGACUAGGUCAGGAUUUUCCUGUUGGACUAGGCUAGGUUGAACCUGGUUUAGUUGUAUCAUAUGCCAAUUUAAGCCCAAAUUUGGCCCAACUAAUUUGGGUUCUUUUUAAUGGCUUGAACUCGGCCUUGGUUUCAUUUGUUGGAUACUUGGGCUAUUUUUGCCGGCCCGGUCCAUUGACAUUCCAACUAACUGCAAGCAAGCCG
rnacentral:lncRNA from 1 species